UUUUGGCUUUUUUGUUCUUAUCCACUCGAGGCCAGGCCUGAAGCCGCGAACCGACCGUGCCUUGGGUGCGUCGGGGAGGGGUCUAAACUGGGCCGUGUUAUGUACGUGAACAUACGUCCCUUACGGGACGUCAUCUUCAUACCCUGUGUUUACCUACCUUUGUUGCUUUGGCGGGCCGCGGCCUCCGCUACGGGCUUACGCUCGUACGUGCCCGCCAGAGCACCCAACUCUUGAUUUUAGUGAUGUCUGAGUACUAUUAAAUAGUUAAAACUUUCAACAACGGAUCUCUUGGUUCUGGCAUCGAUGAAGAACGCAGCGAAAUGCGAUAAGUAAUGUGAAUUGCAGAAUUCAGUGAAUCAUCGAAUCUUUGAACGCACAUUGCGCCCGCUGGCAUUCCGGCGGGCAUGCCUGUUCGAGCGUCAUUAUGACCAACUCACGCUCUGCGUGGUCUUGGGGUCCGCUGUCACGGCGGCCCCUAAACUCAGUGGCGGGACCGUGCGGCUCUCAGCGUAGUAAUUUAUCUCGCUACAGAGUCCGGACGGUGCUAGCCAGCAACCCCAACUUCUUAAGGUUGACCUCGGAUCAGGUAGGGAUACCCGCUGAACUUAAGCAUAUCAAUAAGCGGAGGCAUU
rnacentral:rRNA from 1 species